UACGUAGGGCGCAAGCGUUUGUCCGGAAUUAUUGGGCGUAAAGAGCUCGUAGGCGGCUUGUCACGUCGGGUGUGAAAGCCCGGGGCUUAACCCCGGGUCUGCAUUCGAUACGGGCAGGCUAGAGUGUGGUAGGGGAGAUCGGAAUUCCGUGGUGUAGCGGUGAAAUGCGCAGAUAUCAGGAGGAACACCGGUGGCGAAGGCGGAUCUCUGGGCCAUUACUGACGCUGAGGAGCGAAAGCGUGGGGAGCGAACAGG
rnacentral:rRNA from 1 species